rnacentral:misc_RNA from 1 species
GAUGAAGAACGCAGCGAAAUGCGAUAAGUAGUGUGAAUUGCAGAAUUCAGUGAAUCAUCGAAUCUUUGAACGCACAUUGCGCCCCUUGGUAUCCCGAGGGGCAUGCCAGUUCGAGCGUCAUUUCACCACUCAAGCCUGGCUUGGUGUUGGGCGACGUCCCCUUUAGGGACGCGCCUCGAAACGCUCGGCGGCGUGGCACCGGCUUUAAGCGUAGCAGAAUCUUUCGCUUUGGAAGUCGGGGCCCCGCCUGCCGGAAUACCUACUCGUAAGGUUGACCUCGGAUCAGGCAGGGAUACCCGCUGAACUUAAGCAUAUCAAUAAGCGGAGGA